UUUUUCUGUAUCGUGACAGUUCCGAUGCAUAAUUGAGAAUCACACGUGACAAGCUCGAGUGACAAGGUGAAUAAACAACACGAGGGAUGAUAUUGAAUGAUAGGUUCAUUUAUAUUGUUAGUUUAAGAAAUUCACACUUAUAUUUGGUUCUGUUGAUAAAAUAAAAGCAGUCUUUACCUGUUAGAAAAAUAAUUGUAUGCCAUGAAUGUUUGAAGCCGUGUCUUCAUAGAGAGUCUGUUUU
rnacentral:lncRNA from 1 species